UAGGGUCAUGUCGAUGGAAAGAUGGCGCAAAGGCGGCCAAAAAAUGUGCGGUGACGUGUGCGUCAUCCAAAUUGCAAUGAAUGUUGCUAGUCGGAUUUGCGGAGGGAAAUCGUGAUGGCAAAAUAAUGCACACGUUGUUCUAAUGGCUUUGGUUUAUGUUGUAGAUUUACAUCGUAUUUGUAUUGCAAUAUUUAUAACAAUCAUUACAAAAAGUCUAUUCCAGUCUGUGUUGUAUUCGUAUAAAAUGUUUUGCAUCAAAAAAAUGGUUAUUAUAUAAAUCACAGGCCAACUCGUUUAGGCAGCAGACUGAAAUGAUUGUGGUCUGGCGUCUAUUGGAAAAUCACCAGAUUAAAAUGUAGCCUUGUUCAUUUGAUGGCUAAAAGGAUAAAAAUUCCACAUGACCGACUUGCAUGUUCAAUUUUCACGUGUGCCCAUUUCUCUGCAUGCUUUUUGUUUUCGCCAUCCCGGGAGCACAUUUUCACCUGUUUUUCACUUCCGAGCAGUGCAAAAGCGCAUCAAAUAUUCCCGUCUAUUAUUUAGAGUGGGCUGGCGGCAGCUGUCACCACCUACAGGAAGACAAAAUAUUAAAUGUGUUCUUUGCUUUGCUUACAUAAUCAACAGUCAAGUGUCACGUAUGUCAAAAUGUGUGGCCGCCCUGCGGUCGGGCCUACGAGCGCGUGUCGCCGGGUUGUAUGAGUCCAAUCAGGCUGUGGAAGGAUAGACCUCCAGUGUUUGGGGAUGCAGAGAAGGAAGCCAGCUUGAGUUCUUGAGAACCGCAGGGUUUGCUGCCUGGCUGGAAGUGGAAGGGUUGAAGAAGGGGGUGGGAGUGGGCCGUUCAACGUGGAGACUGUAAGUCAUUGUAGCUCCACUCGACUGGCUUGGGUGGCAAAGAUCAUCAAGUCCUGGACAUUCAUCAACCUGCCGAGGAGGGCCGACUGACUGGAGCCGGGGGCUGCACCGAGCCCGGUACACCCCCACCCCCUUCUCCUAUCACUGCUGGUCCCUCUCCUGCUUCACUCCGAGUAAAUAGGAUCCAGUUCGACUGUGCCCGGGACGCCAGACACGGGUCAGUGCAAAUAAUCAGGCCUCUGACGCCUUGCCUCGUUACUGGGUGAGGGUGGGGAAGCCUGGGGGAUGAAUGUUGGGGGAUCCCAAAGGAAACUGGGGGUCAUGCACCGCUUCUGUCUUUGCAGGAGGGGAAGGUCACGACGUGGCCGAGGGGGACAACAGUAUGUUUACAAAGCGACAUUUUCUUUCUUUAAAGUGCAAAAUUCUUAAAACUAGUCAAGGAGUGCCUGACUAUGACUUACACUUAAUUUUAAAUAGCAUUUCAUUUAUAUAAUUCACAAAGUUUGUCCUGUUAUUCCAUAGCCAAAAAGUAAGAGCUGCAAUGACUUUUCAUGGUGUUUUUUAGGACAUUUGAAUGGACAUUCAUACUCACCCGCCAUGUUUUUUUUUUAAAUUACUUUGUGAAUAUGUUUCUGAACACGUUAUAUGCCGUUAUAUGCAAAUAGGACUGAAUGGUAUCGGUGGCGAAUAUGUAGUGAUUUCAAUAAGGCACCUGGGACAACUACGGGGGGUCCUCAGUACCCGGAAGUAGUUGACAGCGGGAGUUUCGCCGGGACUGCGACUUCCGCUGUUUCAGGUGAGUAAACCUGUUGAAAAGUUUAUGAUCAGAAUUUGUAAUACCGCUGGUAGUCUGAGCUAAUUAUUGAUUGAGAAUAUGAUACAUACGGUUACGGUUGUACAAUGUAUGAUUUUGCGUAUAACAUGGCCAGUGUGUAAUGUUUCUAACGUAUUCUCAGUACCCAGAAGUAAUUGACAGAAAGCGGGAGUUUCAAAUGGCGGAGUCGCCAUUGACCGAGUUAGUAAUUAUUUUCCUGUUUUUACAUGUUAGCAUAUGGUGCGGUUUAUUAAUUUUUGACACUUUUAUGACCUUUAGACAAAAAGUAUGACGUUGACAAGCCUCACCAUCCGAUCUGCCAUCAAAGGCGAGCCAGCUGGCGACGGAGGUGCAGUGGAAGCAAGUGUUGCUGAUUUGAGUGGCAGGUGCUGAUCCAUGCAGCCUUUGAGGAAAGCUUUUCCUUUUGGAUGGAGCCUGCAACAUCCACUACGCACUAUCAUGGAAUUGUUUGGCUUUCCUUGGUGGCGCUGAACAAAGUGUUCCAGUGUGCAGUGGGAGCAGCGAAUGCAGACAUGGUGUCUGUACAGGGAGUUCCUGUCCCUGGCCCAAACCCACAGACCCUCAGCAGAGAAGGACAAGGUCAAACACGGCCUCCACUUUCACUUCACAACUUGUCAUCCUUAAGGUGAGCCCUGAGGUUGGAGCGGUCGGCGAAGGCCCUCUUGCAGUGGGGACACGAGAAGGGCUUCUCGCCUGCCAGGAAGUGACGCAACAGGAAGCAAAGUUAAGACACGCGCAAACAUACACACGUGCAAAUGACAAGCUUUUUGAGAGCGGCUCGGUCGGUGGGCAACAUGAGGCUCGUGGGCUAUUUGCAGGCCAUGGUAGCAUUUCAUGUUGUCCAUCGUGUAAGAUAUUUAUGUCAACAAUGUUGGUUAGUGCAACAAGUGGUUUAUAAUUUGAGUUGAGGUUCAAUAACAGGGACAACCGUUCUGUUAACUCAGAUUUCUUUGUUGCAACAUGCACAAAAUCAAAACUAUCACAGAAGAACAGAAUCGGGUUUUUAAUAUUUUUUUCCUUGCAUAAAUUAUACAUCCUUAAACUGCUGGGUCUAAAAACAACAGCAGAGCAA